rnacentral:rRNA from 1 species
GAUGAACGCUAGCGGCAGGCCUAACACAUGCAAGUCGAGGGGUAGAAGGAGCUUGCUCCUUUGAGACCGGCGCACGGGUGCGUAACGCGUAUGCAAUCUACCUUUUACAGAGGGAUAGCCCAGAGAAAUUUGGAUUAAUACCUCAUAGUAUAUAUCAUUCGCAUGUUUGGUAUAUUAAAGUUCCAACGGUAGAAGAUGAGCAUGCGUCCCAUUAGUUAGUUGGUAAGGUAACGGCUUACCAAGACGAUGAUGGGUAGGGGUCCUGAGAGGGAGAUCCCCCACACUGGUACUGAGACACGGACCAGACUCCUGCGGGAGGCAGCAGUGAGGAAUAUUGGUCAAUGGACGCAAGUCUGAACCAGCCAUGCCGCGUGCAGGAAGACGGUCCUAUGGAUUGUAAACUGCUUUUGUACGGGAAGAAACACUCCUACGUGUAGGAGCCUGACGGUACCGUAAGAAUAAGGAUCGGCUAACUCCGUGCCAGCAGCAGCCGCCGUAA